CUAUAAUUUGUUGUUAAUCUAGAUUAGAGGAGAGCUCUGCUGUUGGAGCGCAUGCGAAAUUAGUAUCUAAAAAUGUAGCAAGAGGGCGCAAGUAUCGGGUUUUACGCGCUUUUCCGCGUUAUUUCCCGCCAUAAUGAAGUGCAUGUCGCCAGCCAUAUUAAAGUCGGAAAUGCGCCGUGCUAAGUGUCGCGCAUUUAUUAUUGUAUUUGAGUUUGAUUAAUUAGUACGGGCAUGCAUAGUUGUAAUUAAUCGUUUUUGCGAGUGCGCGUUUAAUUAUAAUAAAUUAUUGUUUUCGGUAGUGAAUGCCAAAAAAUAGCAAGAUGAGAGAAAGAAAUGGUCCAGGACAGCAUCAAGUGGCGGAGUUGCAACAUAUAUAUGAGAUCAACGUAAUUUGCAGUUAACUUGAAUUAUUUGUUGUGCAUCAAUCGGAGUAUGAGAGGACUCACCGACAAUUUGUGCUUAAGUCGUGGUGCCCUGUUCUUACGAUUUGGUAACAAUACAACCACAUCUUGGUCUUUAUUCCUAGGCUCUGCAUACUUUGGGUAAGUUUUGUCAGCGGUUGUCCCUUUUGUUGAUGACGACGUUGUCGGGGCGGUUGGGCCGCCAGCCGUAGUAUAUUUCGAAUACGCGAUAUUAUUCACAUUAUUGCUACCUCCAUAAGACACAUUGUGCGUGUUAUUUACCUUAA